CUUUUCCAUCCCACUAGAAAAAAAAGGUGAAGAAAUAAACCAGCGACCCCUACCUAGCCGCCGCACCCCACCCCGCCCCUCCUCUUCCAUCUCGAUCCAAUCUUCCUCUCCCCUCACCAUGCCGCCGCCGCCCAGCCCUGGCGCGCAACGAGCUUGCUUGCUCGCACCGAUGUCGGCCACUCCACUCGCCGCCUGCUACCCUCGUCAUUGCAAUGUAUCCCUCUCUGCCCGCACGAAACGCCGAGCAGCCACGACGGUACCCACGCGCCUCGGCCAUGACAACCUCGAUAUCCAUGGCAAGGUGGCCGGCGGCUGGCGGAGGUCAGGUUGAGCAGCUGGGAUUUGGUGGCCGGUCGGCGAGGCACUGAAGGAGGAUGUCCCAGGCCUCAGGAGUUCGGAGGCGAGGUCAGGUGGCGGCACGACGAGCUAAUGGAAGGGGCGUGAGGGUGCAGACCUGGCCGGAGGAGGUCGGGCCAGAGCCGGGGGGCAUAGAGGGCAGCCGGUUCAUGGGGGGCCAGGCCUGGCAGGGUGGUUCGCGACCCAAGAUCGGCCACAGGCUAAGGCCGACGAGCGAGGUAAAUUUAUUGUCCGUUUACAUAGGGCUAGAGCAAGAUCGGCCACAUGCUUUGGUGGGACUUAUCUGAUUCUUCACACAAUCUGCAAGCUGUCCAGAGGUUGAAUAACACUAGCGAUUAUCUCUCACACACCAGCAAUUUCUCAAUAUAUAGUGCCGUUUUGAUUAGAUAAGUUUGUGUCGGUUUUACAUGGCACUUAUCUCUGGCUCACAGACACUUCCAUGGACCUUUGCUACUGCUAACAGUCUGUAUUGUACACUCCGACGUCCACAACCAAAUCAAGGACGGGAGUUUGCGAGGCACUGAAGCACAGCGCAAGGGCACCAUCUCCAUGGCCAACUCCGGGACCAAGGCGAUCGACAUUUUCUUGGCUGGUCCAUGGUGAUUGCUCCCAUGUCUCUGUUAUUUUUUGUUCUUUACAAAAUUUGCUUCUAUAAUAUCAUCAUUUAGUGAAUUUUACCUACCUACACGAGAUAUGACUGGCGCUUCCCUAUUCUCUAAGGUAAUGUAUCAAUUUGCUGCUUAGUUAGGAAGAGGAUGAAUCAUGUUGGAUUUGCAGCGAGAGGAAGCUUGUCGACUUGAUGAACAGGGUAAUGUUUACUGAGGGCGGCUCGGCAAGGAGGAGACCGGAUGUUUGUCGUUGACCUACUUUGGAAGUGAGCUUAUUUAUCUCAUCUGGUCGUUGUUUCCCCUUGAUUAACUUUAGAUGGGGAAGCUUGAUCUCAUAAUGUCCAUGGAGAUAAAGCGGCUCGGACAAAGCAAAGGAGAAAAUACAUGCCCAAAACUGUUGAUCCUGAUUUUCCGACAAUAAUCACUUCAUAUGAGAUGGCCAUGUUUGAUGCAAAAUUUUCUUGCUAAUUAUAAGUGGAAGUAUGUUGUUGUAGAUGAGGGGCAUCGGUUGAAAAAUGCAAAGUGCAAAUUAUUGAGGGAGUUGAGGCGCAUUUCAAUGGAUAACAAGCUCCUUUUGACUUGAACACCUCUUUAGAAUAAUCUAGCAGACUUGUGGUCGCUACUGAAUUUCAUUUUUCCUGAUAUAUUCUCAUCCCAUGACGAAUUUGAUUCAUGGUUUGAUUUUUCUGGAAGUUUGAUGAGGAACAAGAGGAAGAAACUGAUGAGAAGAAAAGAGUCCUUGUUGUCUCAAAGCUUCAUGCCAUUUUGCGUCCACUCCUUUUAAGGGGGGUGGAGGAGGAUGUAGAAUACAUGCUCCCACGAAAGAAAUAAUCAUAUAUGCUAACAUGACUGAAUAUUAGAAGAAAAUCCAGAGUCACUUGAUUGAGCAGACAUUUGGCAACAACUUGCAUGAGAGUGCAUAUAUUGGUGGAGAGAAGAGGAGCGGGCAAUGCCGUGGAGGAGAAGACAGUGGUGAAAAGAAGGUGCGGGCUGAAUGAAGUGGUGUCAAGGGGAGGCUGCAGUGAGAUGUCGUGGAGGGGAGUGAUGGCAGCGACGACGAUGUGGCGAGGAGAGCAGGCCGGGCUAAUGAGAGUCAGAGAGUGAAAUGCAUUUUUAAGACUAGUAAGCGUGCACGUGCAAAUGCACGUCUCAACUAAUAUAUAUAUAAGAAUUAACAUACUAGAAAGAUAUUUUGAUUGCACUAAAAAGUACUAUUAUAAAUCAAGAAGACACUUCAAUGUAUCAUCGACUCAUUGUAUUCAUAGAGCCAAAAAAUUAUAGCGGUAUUUCCUGAUGAAGCUGAUCAAUUCUCUCAAACAUCCGAAAUGUUGUGUGCAGCUUCACUGUUGAUGUAGUUGAGUAGGUGCACCAAAAAUUGCUUCCUUAUCUGGUCACCAUCCUGAAUGAAAAUAGCAAGUCAAUCUAAGUUUUUGCAUAGUAGAACAUAAAAUCAUGAAAUAAUGAAUAUUGACCCUGCAAAUUGGUAGAUUUAGUUCCUUCGCAUUCCAUGAGUGCAAUAAACUAAAAGCAAAAUAAUCAGACCAGUUCUUGUAGAUAUAUGCAUUAUCAUUAUCUUGAGCGUUAGAAAAACUAAAUAAUAUGCUUUAGUGGUUUGAAAGGUAGUCAGUUGUCUUUGUUUUUUGGAACACGAGCUGGUAAUCGACGACGGCAGAAGAAAAAAAGACAUCAUCCCAUUCAGGAUUUGCUACUUGGGGUGUGCUUUAGGUAUAAUGAGAUGCACAUCUUUCAGAGUUGGAACUCGGUGGGCAUCAACUCUCUUGCGCAUCAUACUAAACACGAGCAAGAAACUUAAGCAUGCGAUAAGAGAGGAAAGAAUUCAGACAAGUUGAUUUAAUUUGGAAAGGCUUAUGCAUCACAUUGAUGCUAUAGACUCCAUAUACCAAGCAUCAUGUCGAAACCACAGUGAGUACUUACAACAUCUUAACAUUAGAACAUUGUACGCAAUAUCCCAUUGAUGUCACAAUCAGUAUAAUGAAACA